GAUCAUGGCUCAGGAUGAACGCUGGCGGCGUACUUAACACAUGCAAGUCGAGCGAAGCACUUUGGAAAGAUUCUUCGGAUGAUUUCCUUUGUGACUGAGCGGCGGACGGGUGAGUAACGCGUGGGUAACCUGCCUCAUACAGGGGGAUAACAGUUAGAAAUGACUGCUAAUACCGCAUAAGACCACGGUACCGCAUGGUACAGUGGUAAAAACUCCGGUGGUAUGAGAUGGACCCGCGU
rnacentral:rRNA from 1 species